rnacentral:lncRNA from 1 species
UCGCCUGUGGUACCUGUUCAGCUUAACAGCUUUCCUUUCCCUCUUUCCCCUCGAACUGAUUCAUUCAUCCAGGUGGGGUGAGGAAGGACCGUAGCCAGGAGGUCAUGUGAGAAAUGGCAAGUGUAGACAUCGCUGUAACUUCUGUUCUCGUGUUCCUGCUGUUUUCAGAUUCCGCAGUCACAGCCUCACCCCGGGAGGCUCAGGACACCCUAGAGUGAGCUUCUCUGAAAAAUAGAGUUGCCACUCGCCUACCAGCCCACGUUGCAUUUGAUUACCACAUAAUGAAAUGAUUUUCCUUCCCUCUUUUAUUUCCUCUCCUUCUUUCCUUCUGAGACAAAUGGAAAAAUAAUUUGAUCCCCUUGAAUCUUUUCACCCUGGGUAUUUUCCCCCUUCACACCGAGCACCGCCCCUUGAUAAAUGAGAACACAUGUGCUGAAAACCCGGCCUUCACCCUCUUGACUCAGGCUCCUCCUCCUCUCGGGACUCGGCUUUCCUUUCAAACCCCCUGAAUAAAUUCAUCACAGCAGGAAGAACAUUGUUUUUCUUCAAAA